GAGCCCCUAAGGGACAUGAGGGAGAAAAAAAAAUAGAUGAAAAAAAUAGAAAUAAAAUUAUUUUGUGUUCUCCUGAGAAACAUUUGCCUUGCCCUGAAAAUUUUUUGUGUUCACUUGCAAAACUUUUGCGUUCUCUCAAGAAUGUUUUGAAUGGAAAAAAGUACUUUCGGUCGAAACCCAAGGGAGAAGAAGAAGAGAGCGAACCGGUGUUAACAGUCGCCUGGAGCCACUUUCAAAGUAUUAUCAUUCGUAACGUUACAGAAGAAAUUUAUGAAAGACGUGCCAUGGAGGAGGAUCUCAAUACUUUCUACUGUCGAGAGAAGCCCCAAAAGAGGACAUAACGUUAACCCACAUGAAUAGGGACAAGAGUGAGCUACAAGGAGCCAACGUGUGUGUGUCUGCUGCCAUCUGAUCAACUGGUAGAAGAUGUCUAGCUCAUCAGAUUACCCGAUCUAUGGCAGUAGAGGCACAUUUCCACCACAACAAAGGAUCUGCGUCCUGUCAUAACUUUGAACUCUGCAGGGUCCCACAAUACAGAAAUACCAACUAGGUCACAGAAAGAGAAAACUGACUCAACGGGCUAGCAUAAAUAAUGUCUCUUGUUAAGAUGAUUUGGCAAUGCAUGACAUAACAUAUCUAACAGUGUUUCACUAUUUUCAUCAUUAAACAUGGCUGCAGCCCCAAGAAGAGGUUCUGAGGUAUCUUCAGAGUGACCAGCUUACUGUACCAGGUCACUCUGACCAGAAGUGACUACAACAUUGCUGGUUAGCUGCCAAAUAUAUUUCCAGCCUGCUAAGAUGGUUAUAGCUGAUCUGACUUUAGCCAUCUUGAUAGACAUUACUAUACAGACAAUGUCACUCUGUCCUUAAUGUUUUAUAAUAAUGUUGUAGAGUUGUUCUGAAUGUUGGAUUAAUGAGAAGGUGAACUCAACUGGCUGAUGUUCAUGUUGUUCUCUCAUUGGUUGAGAUCUUUUGCAUGAGCUGUAAUACCAUCAAUGAUAUUUUCAGUGUUCCUGCUAAAAACAAACACAUUUAAUUUAAACAGAUGGAUAUUUGCUGGUCUCAGUUGAUUUAUUUUCACAGCUCAAACCUCCUGAACAAAGUAAGAUGUGUUGAAUGCUAAUCUAUAGAACUUUAAAUAAAAAGAUUGCAUAGGAG